rnacentral:rRNA from 1 species
AUUCCAGCUCUAAUGGCGUAUAUUAAAGUUGUUGCAGUUAAAAAGCUCGUAGUCGGAUGUCGGGCUCGGGGAGGCUGUCGGCCUUUGGUCGGACGGCAUGUCCGGGCCUUUCUGCCUGGGGAUCCUAUUCUACUUAACUGUAGGGUAGUGGGACGCAGGCCGUUUACUUUGAAAAAAUUAGAGUGUUCAAAGCAGGCCUACGCUUGAAUACAUUAGCAUGGAAUAAUGGAAUAGGACUUUGGUCUUAUUUGUUGGUUUAUGGGACUGAAGUAAUGAUUAACAGGGACAGUUGGGGGUAUUCAUAUUUACAUGUCAGAGGUGAAAUUCUUGGAUUUUGGAAAGAUGAACUACUGCGAAGGCAUUUACCAAGGAUGUUUUCAUUA